rnacentral:rRNA from 1 species
UACAUAGGGAGCAAGCGUUAAUCGGAAUUACUGGGCGUAAAGCGUGCGUAGACGGUCACAUAAGUCAGAUGUGAAAGCCCCGGGCUCAACCUGGGAAUUGCAUUUGAGACUGCGUAGCUAGGGUGCGGAAGAGGGAAGCGGAAUUUCCGGUGUAGCGGUGAAAUGCGUAGAUAUCGGAAGGAACACCAGUGGCGAAAGCGGCUUCCUGGUCCAGCCCCGACGUUCAGGCACGAAAGCGUGGGGAGCAAACAGG